rnacentral:rRNA from 1 species
AGCGGCGGACGGGUGAGUAACGCGUGGGUAACCUGCCUCAUACACAUGGAUAACAUACCGAAAGGUAUGCUAAUACAAGAUGAUAUAAGAGAUUCGCAUGGAUUUCUUAUCAAAGCUCCGGCGGUAUGAGAUGGACCCGCGUCUGAUUAGCUAGUUGGUAAGGUAACGGCUUACCAAGGCGACGAUCAGUAGCCGACCUGAGAGGGUGAUCGGCCACAUUGGAACUGAGACACGGUCCAAACUCCUACGGGAGGCAGCAGUGGGGAAUAUUGCACAAUGGGCGAAAGCCUGAUGCAGCAACGCCGCGUGAGCGAUGAAGGCCUUCGGGUCGUAAAGCUCUGUCCUCAAGGAAGAUAAUGACGGUACUUGAGGAGGAAGCCCCGGCUAACUACGUGCCAGCAGCCGCGGUAAUACGUAGGGGGCUAGCGUUAUCCGGAUUCACUGGGCGUAAAGGGUGCGUAGGUGGUUUCUUAAGUCAGGAGUGAAAGGCUACGGCUCAACCGUAGUAAGCUCUUGAAACUGGGAAACUUGAGUGCAGGAGAGGAAAGUGGAAUUCCUAGUGUAGCGGUGAAAUGCGUAGAUAUUAGGAGGAACACCAGUAGCGAAGGCGGCUUUCUGGACUGUAACUGACACUGAGGCACGAAAGCGUGGGGAGCAAACAGGAUUAGAUACCCUGGUAGUCCACGCCGUAACGAUGAGUACUAGGUGU